CACACCAGCUCUCAGUACCACCACCACCUUGCCUCUUAAAGCAAAGAACUUGGAGAAACAAAUUCACUGCAACAGAUGGGUGUCUGUGCAGCUUAAGAGUGUGUGUGUGUGUGUGUGUGUGUGUGUGUGUGUGUGUUUUAGACAGGGUCUGACUGUGUCUUCCAGGCUGGAGUGCAGUGACGUGAUCUCGGCUCACUGAAACCUCUGCCUCCCAGGUUCAAAUGAGUCUCCUGCCUCAGCCUCCUGAACAGCUGGGAUUACAGCCUCUCAAAGUGCUGGGAUUACGGGCAUGAGCCACCUUGCCUGGCCAUAAUCAUCAUUUUUAUAGAAACCUUACAUGAUCACAGCUCACUGAUGAAGAAGUGAAUAUUUUUUAGGCAAUUUCUGCCAGAAACGACGGUGUGAAGACAUUGCCUGCCAGUCCUGCAGCCUUGAACACAUCACUCAUCCUUCUGCUGACCCCAGUGUCCUAAGAAUCUUCCUUCACUGAAUCUCUGGCUCCUGCUGGGUGCAUAUCCAACAGUACAUAUUGGAUGGAAUUCUCUUUUGGGUAACAGCUACACCGCCUUUUCAGGCUCUGCGCCUCAAAGAAAUUCAUUUCCUGGAAUUCACUUCACUUCCUGCUCCAAGAAUGGACAUGUGACUCAGGUUUGGCCAAUCAGAGCAUCACCUUCCUCUAGCCAUGGUGAUUGGCUCAGGAAUGAACACGUGACCUAAGCUCAGCGUGUUGCCCUCUUCCUUAGGACCUUCGAUUUUCCAAGGAGUGAGGGAGGAGGAAACGAAAUGGAGAGGAAGAGGAAGUCUUGGAAGACUCACAGAUUUCUCAGGAUUCCCAAAGUCAUGAAAUACAGAUUGCAAAGAGAAGUAUCGGAGCGUUGGAUUCACCCAUCUCCCCCAUAUCUCAGACAAGGAAACUAAAGCCCAAACCCGGGAGUUUCUGCUUGGCACUGCCCACUUUCCCUCUGGGACACCAUCUUAGUCUUCUGUCACCAUCCUCUGCUUUUGUCCCUGCUGAAUCACUUCCUCUGGGUCACUUGAGACUUUUCUCCUGUAGAAGAAUCUCAUCUUCAUCAACAACCAAGUUGAAAAAGACCUUCCUAGAUUACUGCUUUACCACUCAUUCAACGAUUCCUGGGCUCCAUAACUUGAAUGCAAUUCACACAUCCACUGCUCUGUUUAUCCAUAUUGUAAGGAUUGCCAUGGUGCUCCAAAGAGCAUUGCAUUUUCUAAUACAAUCUUCACUGGACCGUGGGUGCACGCAGGCCUAGGUUUUAUCCAUGGCGCUAUCUGCUGCCUUAGAGAACUCACUUUUCUCUGGAUUUUCCUAUCCACAAAUGUCUAUUUUACUUAUUUCUCUGUACCCUAUCUUCUUACAAGAAAAAUCUAAGGCCACUUAUAAAUAUACAAACACUAUAGCAAGAUAAAAUAAAUUUGAAAUAGAAACCACAUAGCAAAAGGAAACUAAAGGUACAGAGGUUAGAUGCAAGUCAUGAAGGUUUUGCUAUAGAUGAUAUAAAAGUUGGCUCAGAAACUCCUGAUAAGGCCAGGUGCAAUGGCUCACACCUGUAAUCCCAGCACUGUGGGAGGCCAAGGCAGGUGGAUCACUUGAGCUUCAGUGUUCGAAACCAGCCUGGGCAACAUGGCAAAACGCCAUCUCUAAGAAAAAUACAAAAAUUAGCCAGGUGUGGUGGUGCAUGCCUGUAGUCCCAGCUAUUUGGGAGGCUGAAGUAGAAGGAUGGCUUGAGCCUGAGAGGCACAGGUUGCAGUAAGCUGAGAUCACACCACUGCACUCCAGCCUGGACAACAGAGCAAGAUCCUGUCUCAAAAGAAAAAAGAAAGAAAGAAAAGAAAAAGAAGAAUGAGAAAGGAGGAGGACAGUCUUGGGAAAGGCUAAGAAACACUCCCAGGAGGGGCUAUAAAAGAGGGUUGAAUAGGACAUGAAGGAGUGGUCAAAGAGGGCCUCAUUUAAAUGCAGCCAAAUGAACUUCUGUAGGUUCUUUGGCCCCAUACUAACUUUGUAUUUUGAUGUGUGUGUGUGUGUGUGUGUGUGUGUGGUUUUUUUUGUUUUUGUUUUUUUUUAGAUGGAGUUUCACUCUAUAGCCCAGGUUGGAGUGACACAAUCUCAGCUCAUUGCAACCUCUGCCUCCCAGGUUCAGGUGAUUCUCCUGCCUCAGCCUCCCAAGUAGCUGAGAUUACAGGUGCAUGCCACCACAUUAAGCUAAUUUUUGUAUUUGUGGUAGAAACAGGGUUUCACCAUACUGGCCAGGCCGGUCUUGAACUCAUGGCCUCAAGUGAUCCACCUGCCCUGGCCUCCCAAAUCCUGGGUUUACAGGUGUGAGCCACUGUGCCAAGCCAGCUGUUUUUGUUUUAAUAGACUUUCUUUUAUAGAGCGAUUUUAGGUUCACAACACAACUGAGCAGAAGGUACAGACAUAUUCCGAAGUUCUCCUCCCUUGUCCCCAUGCUGCACCUAAUCCCCCCAUUCCCCCUUCCCCCGACCCCUGCCAUUAUCAACACUGCACACCAGAUAGUACAUUUGUUACAACUGAUGAACCCACAUUGACACAUUAUUACCCAAAACCCAUAGUUUACCUUAGGGUUCACUCUUGGUGUUGAAUAUUCUGUGAGUUUUGACCACAUGUAUCUACCAUCAUAGCAUCAUACAGAGUAGUUUCACUCUAAAAAUUCUCUCUCCAACCUAACCCUGUGUGCUUUAGCUUUUAAGAAAAUUCUGUUGAGUCAGUUGUACAUGCAAAGACAUUGCCUAGCAAGGAUGGGAAUAUUGGACAUUAGAUUUGCUUUCUUCUUUUUUUUUUUUUUUUUUGGCCAGCUUAAGUAGCUAAGAUUUGCUUUCUUCACUACCAAGUUUUGCAUAGUAUCUCUUUGAUUAAAAUCUAAUUUAGCUUCUUCCUAUCAGGGCCCAUCAGUUUACAUUUCUUGAUAUAACUCAGGAGAUGGAUAUUGUUUCCAACUAGAGAAAAAAACUUCAGCUUAGCGAAAUAACUAAAUUUAUAUUAAUAAAACUCAGCUAUUGUGGACAUUAUUUAAUUGAUGUUAAUUUAAAGUUAUACAGUGUUUUCAUUUUUUGGUUUUUGGCAGAGUCUCACUCUCUCGCCCAGGCUGUAGUGCAGUGACUUGAUCUCAGCUCACUGCAACCUCCGCCUGCUGGGUUUAAGUGAUUCUCCUGCCUCAGCCUCCCAAGUAGCUGGGAUUACAGGCACCCACCACCACACCCAGCUACUUUUUGUAUUUUUAGUAGAGAUGGGGUUUCACCAUGUUGGCCAGGCUGGUCUGGAACUCCUGACCUCAGGUGAUCUGCCUGCCUUGGCCUCCCGAAGUGUUGGGGUUACAAACAUGAGCCAUCCUGACUGUCCUACAGUGUUUUCAUUCUGAAGUGCAACAAAAUUAGCACAUAAUCAACACAUGAAUUUUCAUAACUGUCCUGUGAAAUGCACAAAGGGAGAUCCAAAUGAAUCCAAGAAAACAGGGCUCACAUGUUUCUACUACACAUUAGAAGGGAAUGGAAAAGGGAAGAGGAUAAGGAUGAGAAUGAAAGUUAAAAAAUAUUGACAAAUGUUAAUGAUGAAAACUUUAAACCCUGAAAAAGGAAGGAUAAUAAUAGCUUUUUAUCUGAGUCAGCUUUCAAUUUGCACAGAAUAUCAUCACCAAAAAUAUAAAAAGUUUUAAAAAAAGGAAAGAGAAAACAUUUUUUCUUACUUCCCUUUUGUAGAUUCACCAGUGUGGUCAUUUGGCAUCAUUUCAAGUCAAAACAAAUGCUUUCGUGUAGACCAAAGAUCCCUGGUAAAUUUUAAAAUAAGAUUUUCAAAAGUAUUUUUUAACCAAAUUUAAACAUUUUAAACAUUUUUUAAGACUUUCAAGAACUAUCUGUUACUAAAAAUAACAUUGACCUUUGAUAUUUGUCUGGAGGAAUCCUCUGGAGGAAAAAAAAGGAUUUCAUCCUGGAGAUAAAUGGGGCCAACUCAUCUCUAGUCUUUGGUUAAAUUAAACUCUUCCAGAUGGAGAACAUUCAAAGCAAAGGAAUAUUUCUGAGCCCCCUGGAAUUAUUAAUAAACACAAUAAUAUGUUACAUGUAAAAGAAAAUGUGUCCUUUAUCUUUGAGGAAGUGUUUGGUAGCAUUAUAAUUUUAAGUUUGACUAUUAAAAAAAAUGCUCUCAUUUUAUUCAACAUUCAACAAACAAAUACUGAGUGCUUGCUUUUCCCCAGUGCUAAGCACCAGACAGGACAGGGCCCCUGCCUUUAUGGAAUCUCACAAUCCUACCAGAAUUUACACUCUGCAGUGCCUGGCACAUGGUAGAAACUGAGUAAGUAUUUGUUGAAUACAUGAGUGAAUGAUAUAGACACUUGAAUAAGGAAUUAUAUUCAUAAAGGUUUGAACAAAUUACUGUGGUCACAGGGAAGCAUGGGAGCCUCAAGUUGUCAGAGAAGGCUUUGCAAAGAAGUUUGUCAGAUAGGAGCAGGAAAGACUUGCAGACACAGAAAGUGGCACUUGCAAAGUCAGGGAGAGAAGAAACAGUAACAUAUUUAGGCAAUGGCUAGUAAUUUGGUGUGGUUGGAGAGUAACGUGUAUAUGGAAUGUGCCCGGAAGGACUGAGACCGCAAAGAUGGGUUGAGGCUCAUUUGAGGAGAACCCUGAAAGCCUACUUAGUUUAGACUUGAUCCUUCAGUAUGUGUUGGUGUUUUAGAAAGAUAACUUGAGACAUAGUAUUAGAGGAUACACAGAAGGAGAGAAGGAAGGAAAAGAUACCAAGGGUUAAGUGCCACGCUUAUGUCCAUCCCUAGGCUAGAUCCUCUAUGUAUUUAUAUUAAACUCACUUAUUCCUUGCAAUACUCCCGUUGGGUACAUAACAUUGUCCUUAUUUUCAGAGGGGAAAAUUCAGAGGAAUUAAACAAUUUCCCCCAGACCACACAGUUAAUAAAAAAUGGGACUAGAAUUUGAAACCAGAGUUCUAAAAAAUCUUGUUGGAGAAUAAAAAUACCAUUGGCGCAGUGGCUCACGCCUAUAUUCCCAGCACUAUGGGAGGCCAAGGCGGGUGGAUCACAAGGUCAAGAGAUCGAGACCAUCCUGGUCAGCAAGGUGAAACCCCAUCGCUACUAAAAAUACAAAAAAAAUUAGCUGGGCAUGGAGGUGCGCUCCUGUAGUCCCAGCUACUCAGGAGGCUGAGGCAGGAGAAUUGCUUGAACCCAGGAAGCAGAGGUUGCAGUGAGCCGAGAUCGUGCCAUUGCACUCCUGUCUGGGUAACAACAGUGAAACUCCAUCUCAAAAAAAAAAAAAAAAUACCGUUGGACUCAUACCAGUAUUAGGGAAAAUAUACAGUAGAAGACUGGAGAAAGUGAAUAUUAAGAAAGACAGACAUGCAAGACACAAGGGAAAAAAGCAUUUCUAUACAAAAGGAAUUUACAGUAAGGAGAUAUAACACAGGAAGUGGAAAGAUAAUCAUAGAAAAACCACAACAUGUGUUUUUAAAAUGCAAAGUGCCCGGGAAGAGAAAGCAAAUGACACAAUAAUGCCAUUCACUCUGGCAUCCUGUGCAUUUGGUUUUGCUCUUUACUUUUUUUUUUUUAACUUUAAACGAUUUGUUAUGAGAGUAACAAAGAUACAGCUCAUGAUCUUGCAACUCUAAAGCUCUAAAUCAGAAACAGAUGGUACCUAGUGUACCCUGUUUCCUAGAAACCAGAAUUUUGAAGACAGCACCCUCUCUGCACUGCACUGCUGAUUUCAGUUCCUUCACAGAUACUAAUACACGGCUAAAUAACGUGAUUGCUGGGUAUUAUAUUGGAACAUCUGUUUUCCUUGCUGGGGAAUCUUUUUGAAGGUUAAAACUUUUCUCCAUUUGUAUUCCUUUUUUUCUGAUUCAAAAGGUGAUUUCUUUUUAUUGUGACAAUUUUUAAAAAUAUGAAACAAAGAAGAAAAUAAAAAUCCCCCAUUCCCUUCCCACCCAGCAGUAAUGACCACUGUUAACAUGUUGACAACAUUCUUCUAGUUAUUUUUCUGUACACACACACACACA